AUGCUCGCUUCGGCAGUACAUAUACUAAAAUUGGAAUGAUACAGAGAUUAGGUUGGCCAUGUGCAAGGAUGACAUGCAAAUUAGUGAAGCAUUUCAUAUUUUU